rnacentral:rRNA from 1 species
UACACACACUGUGAAUCAUCGAAUCUUUGAACGCAGCUUGCACUUUUGGAGUGUAUCCAAAAGUAUACCUGUGUGAGUAUCAUAUGAUUUUCUUGUUCUUUUUCUGAAAGGAAAAAGACAAGGAUGUGGAGCUCAGCUCAUGCUGUUCUCUGGAAUGCAUUGGGUAUUCUGAAGAGAACGAACACACUGUGCGAGGAUGUUUGCCAUGGGCAAAAUAGUUGUACAAGUGAGCGCUAUCUUUAAGAAUACUACUAAUAUUAACAAAACAAUAUUACUACAAACAACAACAUUGAUCUCACAUCAGGCAAGACUACCCGCUGAACUUAAGCAUAUCAAUAAGCGGAGG